rnacentral:lncRNA from 1 species
UUUAUUUGAAAUUGAUUAGAGAGACAUGUGAGAUGCCGAUUGGAGCGCGACGCUGAGUCCUCCUUACUGGCAAUGCAUUUAUAGUAUGGAUGUUAGGGUUUAACCAUUUUCAAUCAAGUCUAAAAUAUCCGUGGAUAUUUUGUGAUCAAAAUUAGUUCAAAACUUAAUAAAAUAAAAUCCAAAUAUAUUUUCAAUGACAAGAAAUAAAACACAUUAAU